rnacentral:rRNA from 1 species
CCUACGGGAGGCAGCAGUGAGGAAUAUUGGUCAAUGGCCGGAAGGCUGAACCAGCCAUGCCGCGUGAAGGUCAGUGCCCUAUGGGCGUUAAACUUCUUUUGUGCGGGAGCAAUAAUGGUCACGUGUGGCCAGACGAGAGUACCGUACGAAUAAGCAUCGGCUAACUCCGUGCCAGCAGCCGCGGUAAUACGGGGGAUGCAAGCGUUAUCCGGAUUUAUUGGGUUUAAAGGGUGCGUAGGCUGUGAGGUAAGUCAGCGGUGAAAUGCCCCCGCUCAACGGGGUGAAGUGCCAUUGCUACUGCCUGGCUGGAAUGCGGAUGCCGUGGGAGGAAUGUGUGGUGUAGCGGUGAAAUGCAUAGAUAUCACACAGAACACCGAUUGCGAAGGCAUCUCACGAAGCCGCGAUUGACGCUGAUGCACGAAAGCGUGGGUAUCAAACAGGAUUAGAUACCCGAGUAGUC